ACUAACCAAGUUUAGGGAUACUCUGGAGGCUUGGAUAAUGCCAAGUUUUUGCCAAUUGGCAUUUAAAGGUAAGUUGGGUUUGAUUUUUUAUUUUGUCUUGUUUUGUUUUUUAAGGCUUCACGUUUUAUUUAAGUUUUCACUUUGUUGAGUUUCUUUGCUUGACACAUAUAUGAUGAAAAUACAUGUACUUGGAAUAUGUCUUUAUAAGUUGAAGAGAACACUUGACUCAUUUACUUUCCACUGAACAUUCAGAACACUAAAUUUUAGUCAUAGCAUUUGUGUUAUUGACAAGACUUAAGAUAGACUACAAAAAAUAAAAUCAUCAUGUACAAGUGAGCUCAGCACAUACCAAUCAGGGCUUUGGGGGUUAGAAAGACGGUCUUCCAAAGGAUCUGAAUUUGAUUGCCAGCACCCACAUAACAAUUCAUAACUGGCUAUAUUUCACUUUUAGGAUAAUCUGACACCCCCUUCUAGCAUCAAACACAUGGUACAUAGACAUACAUGCGGGCAGAACACCAUACACGUAAAAACAUUUCCCCACAUACUUACCAUAGGAGAGGUGAUGGUACCAAGGCCAAGUUCUUUUAAGUCACCAUAAAGAGUUUUGUCUAUUUGGGGAAAGGAGGCAGAAGGGAAAAGCUGAAUAGAUUAAGUUUAGAUAGCUUUAUUUCAGCAAAGAAAAUAGCCAGAUACAGUUGCAUCUAUAAUUCUGGUUCUUCAAAGGGUAAGCAGGCCUGUCUCUGAGUUCCAAGACAGGGCUACAUAGAGACCCUGUCUCCAAAGGGGUGGGAGGUGGAGGGAGAUUAAACACAAGCUACUAUUCUAUUCCAUUGAAUCUGAGAUUGAGUCUUUAUAUACUUCUCAAACUAAGGUAAGCUUUACAGUUGAUGGCAUGACCUUUAUAAUUAGUUUUGUUUUCAUAGUUUAUUAGGAGAGAUUGUGAAAAUCAAAAUCCAACUUAAUAGGAACUGAACUUGGAAAAUCAUAGUAAUAACUUGUUCUAAGUGAAUCUGAUCAGGCAGUUUUCAUAAGAGUGUUAACUUGAAUUGUCUUGUUCAUGAGAGAAUGAUAUCCUUAAUUAAAUGUGAAGUUAAGAUGUUAAGUAGAUGAGAGUGGUGUGUUUUGCUAUACAUAGGGAACUUGAGUCCAACAGAAGAGUGUCACACAUGGGACCUAAAAGAAAAAGGCCUUUUCUGUAGUUCAGGCACUCCCCAUGUCUUCUUUUCUUGCAGUAUUAUAAAAAAAGAAUUGUAAUCCAAUAAGAACUGUGUAGAGAAUCAUUUACAAGAUGAAAAUUAAAUUGGAAACUACAAUUUAAUCUUAGGUAUAUUUUAUUCAUCUUUUAUAACUGUGACAAGGUACUCUGAAGCCUAAAUCCUUCACAGUCGGCCUCUCUUCCCAGACUUGAGGGUGAGAGCAGUAGCAGUCAUCAGUACGUCCUACAUGACGUUUAUAGUGUACAUAAGAACUGUAUAAAUUUGGUGAAGCAAGACUUAGGGUACAUUGAAAUUAAAAGGUAUACUAUUUCAGAGAGAAUUCUAUAAGUUAGAUAUGCAUUGUAAGUAGAAAAGACAAUGAUACAUGCAGUAUCUUAUUUACUGUGCCUUUUUAAAGGUUUUUGGGGACUUUUGUGUUGGUGUUUAGGGUUAGAAAAUAUUGAACUCGGGCUGGAGAAGUGGGUUGGUGGAUAAAGGCAGCUUGCUGCUGAGUUUAGUCCCUUGAACCUACAUGGUGGGAGAGGUCCAACUCCUUAAAGCUGUCUUCUGUCCUCCAUAUGUGAGCCACGCAUGCUAAAUGGAGAACAAAAACAGAACUCUGUAAAAAGAAUAGAUUUCAUUUAAAGCUUUAUUGUGAAGCCAGAGGCAGCUCGGUGGUAGAGUGCUUUACCUGGCAUACUAGCAUCAUGAGCCCCUGACUCAAUCCUGAGCAUCAAUGGGAUGGGUUGGAGGAGGGAGCAGAGCUUCUAUUAUUAGUUCUAUGUGUGGCAAUGAAAUCUUGUGUCAAUGUAGUACAAAAAAUGUGAUCAGAACUGAACACAAAGAUUCCUCCCCUUAAUGAAGAUUUGCCGUGUUGUGAGCAGAAACAGUGCACUUUACAUUAAAAAUGCCAAUUGGGCAUAACUAGGAGUUUUCUCAUCUGCUUUGAAUGGCUGGACUUUAUAGAAUUGACUGGUAACCUUUGGAAAACAACUUGUUAUUCAGUAUCAAAGACUAAUAGUAUUGGAUAUUUUUGAUGUGGGGCUAUUGGGUGUGAGUUUAAACAAGUUAUUGAUGUAAAUCAGGACAAAUGGAAAUAAGAGAGGGUAGCCCCCCACCCCAAAAGAAAACACCUAGAACUUCCUUCUACUACGUCAGCACUUCCUGGGUUAGGCGUUCUUUUAAGGAGUUGUUCAGGGUCUCGUCUGCAUGUCCUGACCUCACUGAAUUCUGAAAAGGUAGGAGGUUCUUUUCACAUGCCUAGAACUGCAUAUGUAGUAUCGGGGUUACUGUGAUGUUUUGAUAGGACACAAGUCUCCACAAAGCCUGCAGAGUUAGAUUACCAAAUCUUAGAAGAAUAGUAAGUUCUUGCUUACUAAAUGUUUAGAAUUUACCUAUUAGUCUGAGCUUUUGAUUUUUAUUAAAACAAGUGGAGCUGUCUCACUAAGUUCCUUUGCCAGCUAACCAAAAACAAGAGAAAUCACUGUUUUAGAAAUAAAACCUUGUCAUGUCUGGCCUUCAUUCACCACACAGAACAAUGCCUCUUGCUACUUAAAAGGUCUUCAACCAUACUUAUGUUUUUAAAUUUUUUCAGUAGUUUAAAAAUAAAAUUCAGUUAAACUAUUUUGAAACUCCCUGCCCAGAGUGUUUCUUUAUGAAGAUACACUCUUAAAUAAGUUGGAUUGUUAGGGCAGUUUCUAACCAACUGUACCUAAUUGGGCAUCACUUGUGGACCUCUUUGUGCCAACUAAAGAGAAAUUGAGCUGCUUUACUCCUCUGCCUUCCCACCCAGAAACCGUGUCAGCAUGGUUGCCUGGCUACCUGCUCAUGAAGGACUUGAUUAAUAACAAAUUGGCAAUUUAACGAGCCACUUCCAUGAUCUCCAAAGAAACCAAAAUACAAACACAAUAUUUAAUCUUGCCAACCGAAGACGAUGUGACUACAUGAAGUGAGUAUGCUUUUUUGAACUGUUUACAGUAAUUGGGACAUUAACUUACUGAUAAUUCCAUGUAGGUUAAAGAGGGCUUUGCUGAAGUCUAGCUGUCUAAGUAUAUUUGGAUCUUGAUGAAUGGUGACUUAAGUAACACCCCAUAUCUCAAGAUGCAAAUAUAUAUCUGCUGAUCUGUAAGUUAAAGCCUAAUUAUUAAAGGAAAACUAGGGGAAAGUUAAAAAGCAUACUCGCUGUAAUGAGAAUAGAGGACCGCAUUUUAAAACAAUCUAAAUUUAUAUCUAAACCAUGGGAAGGCAAUUUUGGGGGCAUGCAGAUUUUUGUGGUUUCUGUCUGUCUUUUUUUUUUUUUUUUAAACACAUCUACAAAUAAACCAUUACAAAUCCAUUAACUCUAUAAAACAGUAAGAGUGUCCCAAAACUUGGAAGAUCAAAUUUAUAGUACAGUGGAUUGCCCUAAUAAAACAGUGCUCUUUUUGGUUGCUUUAAAAAGUAUGAUGAAGGAAUUAUCACCUUAAGUAUUAUGAUAAUCUGUACUUACCUCAGCAAUAAAUUACAUUUUGGCUGAUAGUGAUUGGUAUAUUCCCAGAACUUUUUUGGCUUUCUAAGACUUGUGUUCUAUGAUAACAUACACUACCUUUUUUCCUGGGGUGGGCAGGGUCUCCUCACGCCCUGGCUAUUCUAGAGCUUCCUAGUGUUGGAUUACAAGCAUAAAUUUUACAACCUACUGACAUGACACUGUUUUGAAUGCAUUUUCUUACUCUUAAGGUUCAUAUUCUGCAUACAUGUGAUCAUGGAUGUCUGUUAAAUAGAUUCUGUUUGUUGAUUCUGAGAUGUAGUUUGAACAGCAAUACCUCUGUGUUUCAGGUGCCCUCCGUUUUAAGAGAAAAAUCAUUGGAUUAAAAGAUGAAUUUUAUAACCGCUACAUAAUGAAAAGUUUUUUAUUUGAACCUGUAGUCAAAGCAUUUCUCAACAACGGAUCUCGUUACAAUCUGAUGAACUCCGCCAUAAUAGAAAUGUUUGAAUUUAUUAGAGUGGAAGAUAUAAAAUCAUUAACUGCCCAUGUAAUUGAGAAUUAUUGGAAAGCACUAGAAGAUGUAGAUUAUGUACAGACGUUUAAAGGAUUAAAAUUGAGGUUUGAACAGC
rnacentral:lncRNA from 1 species